CCCUUAGAUGUUCUGGGCUGCACGCGCGCUACACUGAUGCGCUCAACGAGUUUUAACCUUGCCUGGAAAGGUUGGGUAAUCUUUUUAAAACGCAUCGUGAUGGGGAUAGAUUAUUGCAAUUAUUAAUCUUCAACGAGGAAUUCCUAGUAAGCGCGAGUCAUCAGCUCGUGCUGAUUACGUCCCUGCCCUUUGUACACACCGCCCGUCGCUCCUACCGAUUGGAUGAUCCGGUGAGCUAUUCGGACUUUCGCAUUGUCGAUUUUCGGCUUUACGAGGGAAAGUCUCGCGAACCUUAUCAUCUAGAGGAAGGAGAAGUCGUAACA
rnacentral:rRNA from 1 species